GCCUCCGGCAGGUUAGUGGUUAGUGUUCUAGUCUGGUAGACCGGAGGUCGUGGGUUCGAUUCCCACCUGAGGCA
rfam:Lucilia cuprina strain LS Scaffold851, whole genome shotgun sequence.